AGCGGAAGAAGAAGAAGAAGAAGACCGUGGCUGUGGAGUCUAUUGUGGAGCCAAGCCUGGUGGAGCUGAGUCCGGCAAAGCUAGCUCUUCCGGAACCACCCGAGGUGCUGGAGUCGCCGGAGCCGUCUCCAAAAUCUCUCGAGGUUGCUACUCCUUCCACAGCGAUUACUUCUACGAACUUAAACGCGAGCGAGAGCAAGCCAUCGCCGUUCGACCGGGGAAUCAAGCUCCGGGGACGCAAGCUGAGGAAGAGAUUCAAUGGAAGGGUCUUUCGCGGCGAAGUUGCGGACUACGACAGAAGGAACCGACGCUACAAGGUCCGAUACGAAGAUGGCGACGAGGAGCAGCUAAUGUGGAAGGACGUGGGGCCGCUGCUGGUGCCAUUCGAGGAGCUGCAUACGUGGGACGAUCCAAACUAUCAGCCACAGCAAACGCGAGUUAUAAGCUCGGAGCUCCUCGCAGUGGAGAAGAAGGCCAGGGAGGAGAAGCUAAAGCUUCCAAAACUCAAGCCUCAAGUCGUCAAGAAAGAGCGGAAGGAACGUUGAAACAGGUGAUCCAAAGGUCGUCCAAAGGUCGUCAACGUACAUCAGCUGCAAAAUUUUAACUUGAAUUCAUUACGUUGUAGCACGUGGUGUAGAGACCUGGUAGUGACGUGUUGUUUCUAGCCGCCGCGUUUUUCCAGGUGCAUUCUAGCUGCAGGCUUUUACUGACAUAGACUUGUACUUUAGGGCAAUGUUGGCAUCAAUCAGAGAGCAUCAAAGCAUCAUCGCAUCCUUGCCCGUAGAUUUCUCUUGCCGAAGAGCAGCAUCACAGGGCUUGGCAAUGGAUCAAAGGGCCGCAUCUCAAUGCCUGGCAAUGGAUCGGCAAUCGUGGGUAUUCACCAAACAGGUAAAUUGCUCUUGUGGAGGAGGAGGGAGAGCUACUGGAUCGCUACCAUCACGCUUGCAUUGGCUUCCAUCGCCUAAUAAGCUUCCCCCGAUCGCUCGCUCCGUGCGGAGAUUGCCAAGUCCUCUGGCGGCGGCGGCAGUAAAUACCAACGGUUCUUGCGCGGUUAGAGAGAACCACCGGGAUUAUGUGCAUUGGUUCAGGGAAGCGUGGCCAUACAUCCAAGGCCAUCGCGGCAGCACAUUCGUGAUCGUUGUCCCAGGCGAGAUUUUGGCAAAGCGAGAGACUCUAGACAAUAUCUUGCAGGAUGUUUCACUGCUCCAUGGAUUGGGAAUCAGAUUGUGCUCGUUCCGGGGGUCCGCGUCCAAAUCGACGAUCUUCUCCGGGAGAGGGGUAGAGAGCCGAGAUAUGUUGGAGCUUACAGGAUAACUGAUGCUCACGCUCUCGAUGCUUCCAUGGAGGCGGCUGGAAAAUUGCGCGUCGAGAUAGAGGCGAAGCUCUCACGGGGACCAAGCAUCCCUGUUCUUCGUCGGCAUGGCGAGAAUGAAAGGUGGCACGAGUCCGGCUUGGGUGUUGCGAGUGGGAAUUUUCUGUCAGCAAAGCGAAGAGGCGUGGUCAAUGGAGUGGACUUUGGAGCGACUGGAGAAGUGAAAAAGAUUGAUGCGGAACGCAUCAAAGAGAGGCUCGACAAGAACUGCAUCGUCCUGAUGAGCAAUCUUGGGUAUUCUAGCACGGGAGAGGUUCUAAACUGCAAUACGUACGAGGUGGCGACGGCGUGCGCGGUGGCUCUUCAGGCUGACAAGCUUUUGUGCCUGCUCGACGGUCCGGUUCUUGACGAGAAUGGAUUCCUGAUUCGCUUCAUGACACUUCUUCGGGCCGACCAGCUGAUAAGACAGCGCGCAAGCCAAAGUUACAUCGCUGCCGAUUACGUGAAGGCUCUGGCGGGGGCAAGCUACGCGAAAAGUCUCGGUCUAGCGGACGUUCCUUUCACGAAUGAAAGGCGCGGUUUUUAUGUGAGUGCGUCCACCGGCGACUUAGCACUCAGCGAAGAGAACUAUGAUUCCUGCGGGAAGGGGUUUGCUGUUGGUGGCUUGGUGCGGACACAAGGAUACUUAUCGGAGUUGACGGCCUCUGUUCACGUUUGUCGGGCAGGGGUAAGGCGGGUCCAUCUCUUGGAUGGUACCAUUGAGGGAGCUCUUCUCCUUGAGCUUUACACCAGAGAUGGAAUAGGCACGAUGAUCGCAAGUGAUAUGUACGAAGGCAUUCGUUGUGCCACCAAGGACGAUCUUCAGGAUGUAGAGAAGUUAUUGCGUCCUCUGGAAGAAAGUGGGAUACUCGUGAAAAGGUCGCGGGAAAAGUUACGAGGGGAGCUGGAGCAUUAUGUCGUCGUGGAAAGAGAAGGAUCGUUAAUUGCCUGCUGCGCACUGUACCCUUUCCUCAAAGACAAAUGCGCAGAAGUUGGAGCUUUCGCUGUUUCUCCCGAGUGUCGCGGCCACGGCCAAGGCGACAGCCUACUCGAUUAUGUGGAGCAAAAGGCUGCUGCAAUGGAUUGCCAGUAUCUCUUCCUCUUGACAACUCGCGCCGCAGAUUGGUUCGUUAGCAGGGGAUUUUUCCAGUGCCCCCUGGAGCAACUGCCGGCGGCGAGGCGGUCCGGAAUAGACUUCACGAGAGGCUCCAAGUAUUACAUGAAGUCCUUGCAGCGCACAGCUCGCCCUCCAGUUUUGAGGCGAUGUCUCGAGUCUAUAGAGUAGAAGAUGUAUACGCGGGCGAGAAUAAUGCGUCAAGCUUUUCGGGAUGGGAGAAAACUUUCUUCCACAACUUGGCUGUACUUGUCCGGGAGAGCAUUCGAUCGAUCCAGUCGUCCUCGCGGAAGAGCGAGCGAGCGAAAGAGAGGAGAAAGAAAACUGGUUUCUUGGAAGCGAGAAUUUUGCCGAGCAGUGGUGAAUGCCAAUACAGCCGGUGUGAUUCUUUGGUACAAAAAAAAAAAAACCAAGCACACUCCUUUAAAACAUUAAA